GCAUGUGUGGAAGAUUGCUGAAUACAUGUGUGGUCAUCAUUUCUUUAACAGGCAGCAGUUCUAACAGUUCUGAUGAUUAGAUGUUUUUGUUCUUGCUAUCUCCUGCUUGGAGGCUGCCACGUUAUCUAGGGCAGAGCAAAGCAUUUCUUUAUUGGAAGCAAAUGUAUGAUAAUUAUGAUCACAAUUAUUCCUACACUAGGUUUGACUCGUGUGUCAGCUGCACGCUAUCCAUGAUGACGAGUUUUUUGUCUUUGAUACACUGGUCACAAGCCAGUGGCAAGGCACAUGUAGACAAACACCCAUUCACACUCACACCUAUAGAUAUAGACAAUUUAGAGGCCUCAAUGAACCAAAAAUACAUGUUUUUGGAAGAUGUGAGGAAGCUGAAAUCCCAAAAGAAAAUGCACACAAGCAUGAAAUGAACAUGCAAACUCCACACAGGAAGGCUAGAGCCCAGAUUCAAACACCCAACCAUGGGGCAGAUGUGGUGUUCAAACACGACCAGAGCUAAUGUAACAAACAUUAGAAUAACACCAUGUAGGGGAGAGCAAGGUCUGACCACUUGGUGCAGCCUAUCACAGGUAUAAAACUCAAGACGUGGUGACCACAUCCAGCCCGCCAUAUCAUUUUAUAUGGACCGCGAAUGCAAAUCAUUUGUGUCUAGUUAUCCAUCAAUAUGUUGUGGAAAUAUAAUGCAUUUUGUUUUAUCAUAAAGUUGCAGUCUGGUGUGAUUUCUUUUCCCGGUAAAUGUGUUGCUUACUGUUUGUAUAUUAUGUUGAUAUUGUGAUUAUUUACCUUUUUAAAGAAAAUGUAAAUUAUUCUUUAAUCUUUUAUCUCUUCUCGCACUUCACUUUGUGAAAGGAAAAGCCUGGCCCCUUGCAUCCUCCCGAUUUUCAUCGAUAAUGACGGUUAGAAGAAGUACAGCCAGUGACAGGAAAGGAUGGAGCAACCUGAUGCGAUUGUCAGCCUCCAGCUAGCCAGUCGAGCGUGUAGUCAGUCCUGUGUGUGUCUCAUUUUUAGUCCCAGUUUGUCGCGAAGUCACAAAUGGAGCGAGACAAUAACCAAGACACAUUUGCUAACCCGAGCGAGCCACAACACGACCCGGGUCGAAAAUCUUCAUCGGUGGCCUCAGCAGGAAUACUUCACCAGACAGUCUUAAAGAUUAUUUUAAUACAUUUGGUGAAAUCAGAGAAUGUAUGGUAAUGAGAGACCAACAACAAAAUGCUCCAGUUCAUGGUAUAUCCUGCGUCCUGCCCAAUGACAGCUGGCAUAGGCUCCAACACCCCCGUGACCUUCGUGAGGAUAAGCGGCUAAGAAAAUGGAUGGAUGGGAUUUGGCUUCAUCACUUUUGCAGAUUCUGCCAGCGUAGAUAAUGUGUUGGCACAGCCACAUCAUAAGAUGGACUCUAAAAUGAUUGACCCAAAAGUUGCCUUUCCUAGACAUAAACUAAGCAGAUGCCACCACGUGUUUUCAAUGGCGAAUGUCCCAGUGUGACGUGUGCUGAUGACCUUGCAGGCAAUAUGGCUACCACUUGGAUGUCGAGUGAAACUUCCGCAACUUUGCACACGCUCUCCGUUCAUAUUUAUUUUUUUGUAUAGACAUUGAAGUGAAUUAUGUUAUAUGUAUUUUUCAUUACAAUAUCAAUUUUAGAAUGUUUAAAGGCAUGUCAGUGGCCCUUUAACAAUGAACCCUCUGCAUUCAGGGAUUUCUAUUUCAUAAAAUGUAACAUUUAAAUCACAGAUGUCAAACUCGGGGGGGCCAGAUGCGGCCCGACACAGGAUUUUAUGGAGCAAAUCACGUGUAUCAACUUCCAUGAUUUUUGUGUUAUCAAACAUCAACAAUAGUUGAAAAACCCAUUGCCCUUAAUUUUGAUAAAUUUUAUAUGGAAAUAUGAUGGGUCAAAUAAAGAUAUUCAUGGUUUCAGUCAAAAUGGCCUUCUGACAGAAACCGUAACUACAAUGUGGCCCGUGAUAGAAAUAAAUUUGACACCCCUGAAAUGAGGCAGGGUUAGGGUUUCCUAAAUUUUACACACACACAAAAAAAAAAAUGUCUUGUCUCUUUUUGUCUCAUUGCCUGUUACACCCCGCUGGCCCAACGUCUUCUUCCUCUUCUUCUUCAUCUGAGGAAGGGACAUUCAAGUCAACACAUUGUUGCCCUCUACAGGGUGCCAAUCUUCAUCGCAGUUAUCCAGUGGCUUGACGAUCAUACAUUAACUACACAAGAACACCCCCCCAACCUCCUCUCCUACCACAUCCUUAAUAAUAAAUGCCAUUGACGUCUUUAGAUGGUAUUGGCAAGGAAUUGAUGGAUUCUUAUUGACAUCUUUUGAAGGCUUUGGCAUGUAACAUGGUAAAAUUAAUUAAUUAAUGUUUCAGCUAAAAGUUAAAUAUAGUGUUGCUAAAAUCGUUAUUUAGGACUAUUUAAUCACAUCAAACACUUUUAUGGGCAAGUUUUUUGUAGCCUUUUACAGUGGUACCUCGACUUACGAAAUUAAUCCUUCCUGGAAGUCGUUUCGUAACCUACAUUUUUUGUAAGUAGAAGUUUUUCGUGUCCCAUCUCAAUAUCUUGAACAAAGUGAACUUUAAUGGGAAAACUGCAGAUGUCUGCACUGAUGGAGCUGCAGCCAUGGACAGAUGCACCAAAGGCUUUGUAAGUAGAGUGAAAGAAAGAGACCACAAUGUGGUUAUUACACACUGCUUUUUACGCUGUGAAGACCUCGUAGCCAAGACCUUACCAGCAGACCUAGUUCCUCUGUUGGAUGAUGCUGUGGGCAUGGUGAACUUUGUAAAAUCAUGACCUGUGAAAAGUCCAAUAUUUGCAUCUUUAUGUAAGGAAAUGGGUGUAGAACAUAAAGCCUUCUUGUUUCAUACAGAGGUAUGGUGGUUGUCUGGUGCCAAAUUAUUGGCCUGUGUUUAUGAACUGCUGGUGGAAACAAAAGUGUUUCUGACAAAUGAGAGGUAUGCUUACGUAAAACUGCUUGCCACUGAAGAGUGGUGUGCAAACUUGGCAUACCAUUUUUCAUCAUCUGAAUGAAUUGAAUAUAUGUAUCCAAGGCUGAAAUGAAGACCUGCUCACAGGCACAAAUAAAUGGAUUUCAUUCAAAGCUGCAACUCUUGAAACAUUGUGGAAAAUGGAAAUCUUGAAAUGUUCAUACUCACCAAAAUAUCAACACAAAUAAUAGUGAAACAUUUAAAAACAUUUGUGGAGAAGAUGUCAAUUUAUUUUUCUUCAGCCUCCAUUCAAUACUUUGACUGGGUGAGGGACCCAUAGACUCUAUCAUUGGUUGGUGGGAGGGACGUGACUUUACAGGAACUGGAGGAACUAACUGAACUGAGUCAAGAUUGUAGUUUAAAGUUAGGCUUUGCUGAUGUACCUUUGGACAGAAUUUGGUUUGCUACUGCCAAAGAGUUACAGAUUUGUUCAAACAAAGCUAUUAUGGCAUUGCUCCUUUUUUCCACAACAUAUCUCUUUGAGGUGGGUGAGGUUUUCGCAGGCUAACAACUAUAAAAAGUAACAAGAGAGAUACUGAGAGCUGUUGAGGAAAAGCUUUGUGUAUGUCUUUGACCAAUUUCUGCCAGAAUAUCAGAUCUGUGUUCUUAAAAACUG